AGUAAUAAUAAUAAAUUACGGAUUGCACCCGACAAAACAUUAGAGAAGAAGAAGAAGCUUACGUCAUUCGACGCGACACUUUCCACGGUCGGAGCUGAUCCGGAUCACAUACACAGGAGUCACUCAUUGAAGAUGAAUCACAGCUGGACAGGGAUCUUCGAAUAAUUGAGAGACACCAUGGUGUAAAAG